ACAUAAUUUUUUUUAAUGGCCAAAUCGGUGUCCAAAAAUACCGAUUUCCGAUUGUUAUGAAAACUUGAAAUCGGCCCUAAUUAAUCGGUCGACCUCUAUUCUCUACUGCUCCACUUUGCCUCCCCUUUCCUUUGUUCUAUGUAAGUCAAAAUAGAAUGUAUGUUGUAAUUUGGUUCAGUACAGCUGAGGAAUAUAACGGUAUAAGAGUAUAACUUCUCCUGUAUUAGGCUAUUUAGUACAUGUGGGUUGUUGGGAGUGGUUUGCGAUCUGAAUUAUUCAUACAUAGCUCUUAAAAAAAGAACGUAAUCUAUUAAAUAUACAAGCAAAAUCUAGAAAUAAACAUCAUAAAUGUUUAAUUUGCUGCUCUCAUUCCCGCAUUUUCUAAGUCGAGGCUCUCUCAGCUGCAUGUCAUUUGGGAGAGGCAAAAUCAGCACAACAUUCAGAUUUCACCCAGUUAGCUUUAGAAGAUGUAUUUGAUUAAAACUACAAUUAAUGUGAUGGUCUUUUAAUUGCACUGUGGGUAGUCUAUGGGCUAACGUAACAGUUUGCUGUUUCCAAAGCUAGGCUUACGUUCCACAAUACAAUCUCCAGGGCUGUUUUUAUUGCCAGACGUAGGGGAGGCUUAUCUUAAUCAGUUAUGGAACAUUAAAUUAUGUCUGCAUGUCCAAAUCACACAUCUGCUUUUAAAUAUGUCUAAUCCCCACCUUUAUCACACACAGUGUCUCUCUCUCUCUCUCUCUCUCUCUCUCUCUCACACACACUUCUUUUAAUGCAGUAGCAUUUAACUGAGACACAAUCUGGAACAUAUUUGUUUCUGCAGUAAUAAAUUACUGCAAAAUCCUCUUUCAUUAAUCUGGAGGGAGAUCCACAUGAUCUGAAUGGGGACCGCUGGAGCCAAAUCCCUGCCCUGCACUGUGGGCUUAGGCCCACUGGGGGCAGCAGGGUUUCAUGGGCUGGGAGAGUGACCUGCAGAGGAGAGGAGGGAGGGAGGGGAAGUGGGACAGGGGAACCUUUGUUUGAAAGUGAUGAACCCUUAUGCCCAUCCCGAUUUUGCCCAUGGCAUUAUUAUUCUAAUCGCAUGUGUCAUGUGCAAUUGACAAUAUCAAGUCCGAAUGACUUGACUGUCUGAUUGAGAUGUUUCUCAUAUGACUGACUGCCCUCGUUUGGGGGCGGUGUUCCACGACGGAGGUGGUGUUCCACGACGUGGGGGUCCUGAGCCAGAAGCUCUUCCCCAUCGUGGAGGCCAUGCAGAAGCACUUCAGCUCCGGCUCCGGGGCCUACUACAGCAACGCCAUCUUCUUCCUGUCCGUGGCCAUGCACCACAUCUUGUCCAUAGAUCUGUAGUGCAUUGUACAGCUGGACCUGGAUCUGAAGUACAGGAGCAACAUCAGGGAGCUGUUUCUGGAGUUCGAUCGCUUCUCUUCUGGAGUUGUGAUCGGCAUUGCCUGAGAGAUUCAGCCGGGUAUACAGACACACCUUCUGGCAGUACCGUAAAGAGAACCCUCAGUCCCAUGUGGGUGAGCUUACUCCGGACGGCUUGCCGGGCUUCAACAGUGGCGUGAUGCUGCUGGACCUGGGGGCCAUGCGGACCUCGGCCCUCUACAACUAGCUCCUGGAGCCCAGAAACGUGUCCCUGCUGGCUGACCAGUACCACUUCAGGGGCGACCUGGACUUUUUCACCAUGAUCAGCAUGGAACACCCAGGGUUGUUCCAUUCACUGGCUUGUGGCUGGAACCGCCAACUGUGCACCUGGUGGAGGGAGCACGGAUAUGGGGGCGUGUUCCAGCUCUAUUACCACUGUGACGGGCCGGUGUAUCUACCAUGGAAACUGUAAUACGCCCAUACCCGAUGACUUAGUUGAUACCUCUUAAGGUGUUUUCCAAAAUGGUGGACCUAGACCAACUGGUGGGGUGUGGUGAACUCAUUGUAAGUCUUGCUUCAAGACUUGGUUCUGGAGAGAAAUAAGAUAUUUGCUAUACAACUUUCUGGGUCACAACAAAACUCCAAAAAGGCUUUAGUUUGGCAACAAACGUUUUGGAACCAGAACCACUUUGGUACUGUGCCACUGCUACUGUAAACGCCGCUCCCACUCCAGCCCCAUGCUGGGCUGGUUUGCAAUACAGAUAGUACAAGGCGUCUCACUCACUCCACUAAUGUCAAGUGGGUAGCUAAUAACCAAUGUGGACCAUUAAUCCUUUAAGCGUCAAUCUAAGUAACAUAGAGAUAUGUUUUUUGCAUGUGCUGCGUCUCGAUCCACUGCAUCUGUCUAUGUUGGCCUUCCGCAUCUGCAGUGGAAGGUGGCCGAACUACAGCGGUGUUUGUCAGACCAUAAGACAUCCUGAAAAUCGGUCUUCUCACGAAGAAGUCUGUAGUGCCUAGAAACUAAUAUGUUUUACUCUACGACCCCCACAAGUGUCACAGGACUCAUCUGAAGGUAACUCAUACAAAUGAAUGGAAGUAUGGAGGUAGUUUUGUGCCAAUAACAAUAAGGGGUUAAAUGUGUCAACAACAAAAAAAAUAUUUCCUGAGUUUUCAUAUAUCUCCUACAUAUAGGACAGACACUUCAAAACCUUAUUAUAUAGUUUUUUUACUGUCUUUUUUGCCAUAUAUGAAUGUUAUUUGAUGCGUUUCUAUGGGCUAUAGUAGUAAAGGCCAAAUUCAAUAUUUUAUCCCCCCAAAAAGUAUAUAUAUUUUUUUAUAUCUAAAGGUCCUAAAAUGCAAUAUCAUAUAUCUAAAUGAUCCAUGGUAUGACCAUCAUAAAACAAUUCCCCAACGGCUUAGACUUUUAGUGACUCCCUUUUUAUCACCCUCCGGUUUGAGACUAGGUCAGUGUUAAUAAUCAGUGCCCAUUCACUUCACGUCCCGGUGACAAUCUGAGGGAGCUUUUGUUUGCCAAUUCUGGACUCUCUGGCAGGCUGAGUGGGCAGGAGGCAAGACACACUGGCACCCACUAGGACAUCCCACUGAGAGCCUAAUGGAGAGAAAAGAGGGAGAGGGUAGAGGUGAGGGAUGAUGAGACUGCUGAUAGGCUACACCUACAGAUACUUGACCCAAUCACACACAAGGUUUUUUUCAAGUGAGACGCAGACACCAUAGUGACUGUACACACUGACCCACUUUUGUUCCCUAUUUCAUCAAAAAAGAGGAAGCUUUUAACCUGUCUGGGAACCACCCUAGUCAACAGCCAGUGGAAUCGCGUCAAUUUCUCAAACAUAUGACUAUUCUACACCAUUUUAUAGAUACACCUCUCCUGAAUCGAACCACGUUGUCCGAUUUCAAAAAGGCUUUACAGCAAAAGCAAAACAUUAGAUUAUGUUAGGAGAGUACCCUGCCAAAAAAAAUCACACUGCCAUUUUCAAA